rnacentral:misc_RNA from 1 species
AUGUCAAGUCGGCUCGUCUUAAAAGUAAUAGCUGGAUCUGUCUCGCGACAUGGUUUGACUUGGCGUAAUAAGUAUUUCGCUAAGGACAUCUUCGGAUGGCCCUGUUGCAGGACUAAAGACCGCUUUCUAAUCCAUUGAUCUUCGGAUUAAUAUUCAUAACAUCUGGCCUCAAAUCAGGUAGGACUACCCGCUGAACUUAA